rnacentral:tRNA from 1 species
GGGGAGGUGCCAGAGUGGACGAUCGGGGCCGCCUGCUAAGUGGUUGUCGGAGUAAAAUCCGACCCAGGGUUCGAAUCCCUGCCUCUCCG